AUGGAACCACCGGAUCCACCACGGAAAAGGACACUGCCAUGUGAGGAAGGGGAUGUCAGCGGAAAGAACAAAAAAGCUAGAUCCAUCGUAGCAAACGGCAAUUCCGAUGAAGGGGACGGUUCACGAGGCCAUCGCACUUCUCCCGGCGCAGCUGAUCCAUUGGGCGUGGCUUCCGAAGAGAAUGAGUUGCCGCCAGAAGCCAAGGGAAAAGGAAAUCGAGUUCUAGCCAACGAUUGCAGCGGAGGGGGGAUGAGCAUGCGUAGAUCUUUCCGUGCACUUGUUCUUUUGCCCGACAACCAGCCUCAUGAAGACGUGGUUCUUCGACUGGAUUGA
rnacentral:rRNA from 1 species